GGCAGCCGGACGGUGGAAGUUGGCUGGUUCGGAUUUGUUCUGCCUGCCUGGAGAUUUUGCUCCUGUUCUCUCUCUCUCUCUCUCUCUCUCUCUCUCUGUGUGUCUGUGUGUGUGUGUGUGUGUGAGAGAGAGAGAGAGAGAGAGAGCCUGUGGCUUUGAGCCGGGACAGCAGACGGGGCUCCGGAUCGCAGCGCUGCCUGCUCUCGGGCCGUGCUCUAGCUUGGGGGUCUGCUCGGCUAGGAGACGAUGGGUUAAACACUGCAGGCGAACUCCGAGAGGAGCAGCCGCUGGCGCAGGGAGGAAUAUUGAUCAUCUGCGUUUGACCUGGAAUUGACCGGGAAGCGGGGAAACUGACUGGAAACAAUUUUUUAAAAAUCGGUUUCACUUUGAAGGAACUUCGGAGAUUGUUCGCUAGUUGCCUGGGAAUCUCCCCCCCCCCCCCCAAACAAGCUCCCUGCCCAGGAUUAGACACAGUAUUGAUACAGUAAUAAUUCUGGCUGCCUGUUUCGCUGGGGGAAACAAUAUAACGAGAAUGAAGGAGUGAGAUACAGCUCUGUGCGAUUUCCCAUGGGUGAACUGUAACAAACAGAGGAUUUAAAUAUGGGUAGGGAACAGGAGCUGGUGCAGGCGGUGAAAAACGGCGAUGUGUCCUCAGUGCACAAAUUACUGACCAAGAUCAAAGCGACAAAAAACAAGCUGUUGGGCUCCACAAAGCGGCUGAAUGUUAAUUAUCAGGAUUCUGACGGGUUCUCAGCUUUGCACCAUGCUGCCCUCAGUGGGAGCACAGAGCUCAUUUCAUUGCUGCUGGAAGCCCAGGCCAUGGUGGAUAUCAAGGACAGCAACGGGAUGCGGCCUUUACACUACGCAGCGUGGCAGGGAAAGCUGGAACCCGUGCGAUUGCUCCUUCGAGCUGGUGCGGUGGUAAACGUAGCCUCGCAGGAUGGUCAGAUCCCAUUGCACCUUGCAGCACAGUAUGGACAUUACGAUGUGUCUGAGAUGCUCCUGCAGCACCAAUCCAACCCAUGCAUCAUAAACAAGGCCAAGAAAACACCACUGGAUCUUGCGUGUGAGUUUGGCAGACUGAAGGUUGCACAGCUCCUUUUGAACAGUAACAUGUGUGUUGCCUUGCUGGAGGGUCAGUCCAAAGACAGCACUGAUGCCAACUUCACCACCCCAUUGCAUCUGGCCGCCAAGAAUGGACACAAAGACAUUAUCAGGUUGUUAAUCAAGGCUGGCAUUGAUGCAAACAAAGUGGCUAAAACAGGGACAGCUCUACAUGAGGCAGCACUGUGUGGCAAGACGGAGGUGGUUCGCUUGCUCCUCGAUGCUGGCGUUGAUGUCAACAUCAGGAACACUUACAACCAAACAGCGUUGGACAUUGUCAAUCAGUUCACCACCUCCCAAGCCAGCAAAGAAAUCAAGCAGCUGCUGCGAGAGGCCUCUGGAAUCCUGCAAGUGCGAGCCCUUAAGGAUUACUGGAACAUUCACGACCCCACUUCACUCAAUAUUAGGGCUGGCGAUGUUAUCAUGGUCCUGGAGCAACAUGCUGAUGGUCGCUGGAAGGGACACAUUCACGACAGCCAGAAGGGCACAGACCGUGUUGGCUACUUCCCCCCAUCCAUUGUCGAGGUGCUCAGCAGGCGAUCAGGCACCCUGACUCGCCAUGCGUCAGUGCCUCCCCAUCAACGCCAGGGGUUCUCCAAGAACCACCAGAGUUCCUUGACCACCUCACAAACAGACGAUGCUUACCAGCUGUACCAACAGAUGUACUCGCAGACACUGCCCGCCCAUCGCACCUUCAACCAUCCUGGCUUCAGCCACAACAAUCACAGCACGGAGAACAGUGAGAUGUGUGCAGGUGAUAGGAACAGCGUGGGCAGUACAGGCAGUGUGGGCAGCAUUCGGAGUGCUGGCAGUGGGCAAAGUACAGAGGGUGGCAACGGGCACACAGCCACCACAAGCUUGGAGAAUGGCAAGGCUGUGCCCCCUGGUGGGGAUCAGGCACAUCAGCAGGUCUGCAGAGGCUCAGAGAACACUGGCAAGCAACUUGACCAGCCUGCAGAAGUACCAAGACAUCAAAACAUCUCGAGCUAUAAGUCCAGUGAACAAGGUUACUCACAGCAGUUUAUCCACCCUGAUCAAUUCCUGCAAGGCAAGGAUGCUGAAGCUAUCUUUAACUGGCUGAGUGAAUUCCAGCUUCAGCAUUACACAGCCAACUUCAUCAACGCUGGCUAUGAUGUGCCAACCAUCAGCCGCAUGACCCCUGAGGACCUGACAGCAAUCGGGGUGACUAAACCUGGACACAGGAAGAAGAUUUCGACUGAGAUUGGCAAACUGAGCAUUCCGGAAUGGCUUCCCGAUUACAGGCCGGCAGAUCUGUUUGAGUGGCUGAGUGUGAUCGGCUUGCCUCAGUACCACAAAAAGCUCGUUGAUAAUGGCUAUGACAGCAUCAACUUCAUAAGCGAGAUCACCUGGGAAGAUCUGCAAGAAAUUGGAAUCACGCAGUUGGGACAUCAGAAGAAGAUGAUGAUUGCCGUGAAGAAACUUGUGGAUGUGCAGAAGGCUUUAAAUCAGGCGGAAGUGGAGGCCAAAACUGCGACGCUGAGGCGCAAAGCCCCAGCUGCGUUGGAGAUAGUCACCAUCGAGGCAUUACAAGCUGAGAAUGGAGAAUGCCAGUCUCCUCAAACGCCAAAGAUGCUCACCUUCCAGGACAGUGAGUUGAGCCACGAGCUGCAAUCCGCCAUGUCCAACCCUUGCUACAAUUGCCAGGAAGGCCUAUCGAUGAAGCAGGCCGGCGCCAUCUCCCAGAGCCAGGAGAGCAUCGGGAUCCGCUCCCGAGGAUCCGGCCACUCCCAGGACAACGUGCUGGGCAGGACCAAGGCAGACAGCAAGUCCCAGGAAAGCCUGGGCAGCGGGGAUGGCAGCAGCAGUGGGAAGAGCACCUCGUUACCCUGCCCGUCUGAUGUGUCACCUGUUCACGUUGUCGCGCCACACCAGGAGAAUGCCAACGGUUUGGGCCCUGCCCAUGGAGGCAGCCCAUGUAAGGAGAGGAACGUUCCGGAUGGGCGCGACCAUUACCAGAGGCCCGUGCUGCAAAUGGCUGCUCCUGUAGCUCACCCUGUAAAGAUGCUGCCUUCCCAGUACCGAGUCCCUCCCCACCCAACCCUCAUCACUCCUCACACCCCUACUAAGGGUAAGACAGUGCCAGCCUUUAUGUACCCACAGCUACCUGGCAAAAAACCUUUCUGCUCAGCAGUGGAGCCCACCAAACAGCAACACAUCCCCCACGUGCCCGGCAAGCAGGACUUUAACUACCUCCACCCACAUUGUGGGCUCGCCAAUGGAGUUGGGCCAGAGAAUGGGCCUCGCCUGAACCCUGUGGCGCUGCCAGGCGCUGUGCCGAUUGCCCGCUGCCCGGCGCCGGGCCAGGAGCCGAACGGCGAUGCGUCCAAGCCCAAGAAGCGUUCCCAGAGCCUGAACCGCUAUGCAGUGUCGGACGGUGAGCCAGAGGAGGAUGACGUGGGCACAGGGGCCGUCAGCACUUACGCCACCCUCACACGGCGCCCAGGCCGCAACCAGUGGCCAAGGACGGCGGACAAGGGCGUCAACCGCAGCCAAUCGUUUGCCCUCCGCGGGAAGAAGAAAGGGCCACCCCCUGCCCCGCCCAAACGCCUGAGUUCGGUGUCCAGCAGCCAGGGGCAGGAGGCCGAGAGGGAACCAGCCCCCGAUUCUGCCGUGGCCACCCAGAAUGCCCCUGACCUGGUCGAUGGGUUCCCUGUCAAACAGGAGCCCGGUGAAGAGCCAGCAAGCGGCAGCGCUGGGAGUGUCAGGAGCCUUGCUGCCAAACUGGAGAAGAACAGUUCCCCUGGUGGUCAGCCCAAAGCCGUGGCCUUGCUGAAGCUGUCCAGAGUGGAGAGGUGGGAGAACCUGGACCCAAUGCCCAAGAACCCUGAUCAUUGCGGAGGCUGCUCCACGGAGGUGAUGAGGACGCACGAGAAGGCGAGGGACACUGCCAGCCGGCGACGCACGGUCAGUGAGCCAGGAGUCGGCCUCGAGCUGGCUGUGAUCACCGAACCCUCCCAAACUGACAGGGAGGAGCCAAAGUCGGACGCUGAGGAUGAGGCCCGGCCUGCGAGGGGAGAUCUCGAGACCUCGUCAUCCUCUCAGAACAGUUCCAGCGAGUGCAUCCCUUUCGCAGAGGAGGGCAUUUUGACCAUAAAGCAGAGGCCAAAGGUCAACAGCGGGGCCCGGGAGGAGAGCAGCAUGGGCUCCGCUGCCACGCCUGAUGCUGUAACUGUGAUGCCUGGAGAUGUUGGGGUGGAAAGUCAGGUUCCCGAGGGCAACGGGACCCCUGCAACAAUGGGCACAGUUGCCAAGCAGCCGGAUAUUCCCGAAUUCAACCUGACUGAGUCCGACACGGUCAAACGGCGACACAAGCCCAAGGAGAAGGCUCCCGCCGCUGUCCUGCAACACCACGUGCUGGCACAGGGACCGCGGUACGCAGACGCCCAGGCUGUACACAUUGUGGACUCGAGACCCCAGGCCAAUCCCCACAGCAAAUCCGACUUGGAUGACGACGCCUGUGUCGAGUUCAGGAUCGCUGAGAUUGAGAGGAGUCUCCAGUCUUUAGAGAAAGGGACCAAGAAGACUCUGAAACCUCCACUUUCCCCGAAACCAGCCCUCUCCUAUCUCCAACAGGCCCCCAAACAGACAGCACCUGUCCCUGUUUCUGCCAGGCCUUCUCUCACCAAGGGACCAGCAACAGAGUUCUGUCGAAAUCAGUCCCUCUUGUCCACGGCACCUGUCUCCCCAAAGUCCACGACAACACGUGGGGUGCCAUUGGCCAGUCCCAAAAUGAGCAGACUUCCACAAGGUGGGAAUCUCUUCACCGCCACAGGUUCCGUACAGCAACUAGAGCCUGCGCGAGCCUCUGCGCCCACGAGCCCAGUUGCCAGGAAGGCGACAUUGACAGGGGGGGUGCUUGUAAAGCCUACAGCAGAAACUCCAUUAGCCUCCCUGGCUCAUCAACGACUGGAACAGACAAGCAGCUCACUGGAGGCAGCCCUUAAUGCAGUGGAACAGAAACUAAUUCGAGAAGACAACGGCAAUAAUGUCUCCGUUUCAGUGAAGUCUGCUGGUAAUAUUUUGGACGACAUUGGGAGCAUGUUUGAUGACCUCGCCGAUCAGUUGGAAGCCAUGUUGGACUAAUCCCAUACUGCCUUCAUGCUGAUGUUGUCCCUUUGACCGUUGGCGGGUACCCUCCCCCCCCAUCUUCCCUGCCACCCCCCACCUCCCCCGCACAAUGGGGUAGCCACGGUAACUGCAGGAAGCUGCCUGAGCGCCUCAUGUCCUUGAGGCCAUCCUGCUGACAGAGCAUGUCAUGAAAGUGAUUGAGCUUUGCUGCGUCCACAUUGUCCAGGCCUGGCUCAGAUGGGGCUUUCAAAACUGUACUGUGUACGAUCCCAGCUCAAGUCAGUGAGGGAUAGCUUCGAAACCCCAGGAGAACGUAAGAAACUGAAAUCUUUAUUGCAUUUGCUUUUUUAAUACUUAUGUAUAUAUUUACCCUCCUCUCAAAUUUCUGCUGCUGUCAUAAGCACUUAAAACGAGUUAAAGCACAACACAAGACACUCCUUCCCCCCCACCCCCACCAACAAAGUGAAGAUUCAAUCUUUAUCAGAUCGGGCAACGAUCUUCAAACGAAAACUGAAACAACUGGGGGCGCUGUAAAUCAGAAACAAAGGCAGAAUUUGCUGGGAAAGCUUAGCGGGUCCGGCAGCAUCUUGUGGAGAGAAAUCAGAGUUAACAUUUCGGGUCGAGCGACUCUUCCUCAGAACUGAUCUUUAAACCGCUGUCUCUGAAGAUACCCCAUCGCCCCUCCUGUGCCACAGCCAUUCAGCCAACGCACAGUGAUAACAGCAACUCAAGCUGUCGCACAACCCGGCAGAUUCCCCUUCACCCUGCACCUGAAGUACCAGCCCUGCAUUACUUAACGUUGUUUCACAAAAUAAAAAUCUUCUUCGCUCAAGUUUAACGCUAAACUCUGACUGGUGAAAGGCAGAGGCUGGGAUCACGGGUUGGCUGUUUCUGGAACGUACUUGUGUUUUUAAUCAGGCAGAGACUAAUGACUGUGAGAGGUCAGAGCGACUGGGUGGAGGAGGGCCUUCUGCCAUUUGCAUGAGACCAGGGCAGGCUGUGGUGAAGUACCUUGGGACAGAUCGCCUCUGCUGGAGGUGCUACAUGAAUCCUAACUUUUCAUUGUGUUGCUAAGGCUAACAAUGUGAAUUUGUGUCUCUUUUUGUUUGUUUGUGCUUGCCAAGCCCUGGUGCCAAGUUGAGAAUUUGCCUCCAGGGUUUGGUGGGGGUGGGGGGAGGCGUAAAGUGUCAGCGUUUGGGUCUGUGUGGCCCCUUCUCUCUGCUGGUUCCUGCAGGAUUGAGGAGCAGUAAGCAAUUGUGCAAAGAUUUCUGGCCUCGGUGCUGAAAUCCAGCAUUUUUUGUUUUCAAGUACAGAUUCCAGCAUCUGCAAUAAUUUGUUUCUGAGCUCACUGUGUUGGGAGCUCCGUCCUCAGCAGCGUGGGCUGUGCCACCCCUCAGCCUGAAGUUGCCCUCAGUCACAGGCCAAUGUGGAGGAGUAUGUGACUGGUAUUCCACUCUGAGGGACACACCCUGAAUUGACGUAGUGACCAAUCAGCUGUGACUGGGGUUUGGACACGUGAUGUUUAAAAAGGAUUGGAGGGGGGAAGGUUUGUGAAGAACACUGUACUGAGGCACGGAAAUCGUUCCCAGGGAACCACCAUGCCAACAGAGCUGCCCACGUUCAGCUGCUGCUGUUCUGCACUGCACCUCCAUGUUAAUAUCUAACCCACAGCUCAGUAUCUCUACAACAAUUUACAUAACAAUUGUAAAGUUGGCAAUUGUAGCAUGCAGAGAGAAAAAAUAUUUUUCGAAACAGAAAGGUGGAGAGCAGCUUAAACUUAGUGUGGAGGAACUGGUUCUGAACCUGAUUGUAUGAUACCUGUAGCAACAGUCUCACUACUCUUAGAGACGGUGAAUGUGCCUUUUGAAUCUGCAAGGUGUGAACAUGGAUUUGUGUAGGACGCAAUGUACAUGAACAUCUGUAGCAUUGUGUGUGUGAGCACAUAUGUGCCUACACCACAUCUGUGCAUACACAUGUAUCGUGUAUGAGUUGGACACGUAUGUGUGUCAGUCUUGCACGUCUGAGUGAACAUGUGUAACAUGUAUGUUUGUGCAUGCGACAUUCCCGUGUGUACACGUGCAGCAUGUGUGUAUGAGUAGCAAUAACACUCUGUUAGCAUGUAUGUGUGUGAGUAGCACAUGACAGUGUGCAAAUAUAGCAUAUAUGUAUGUGUUUGUUAGCACACGCUGAUGGCAGGCCAGUGUGGUAAAUCAGUGUGUGAACCAUGUUGGCUUAGACUUGGUGCGAGCAAUUUCUGAGGUGCCACCCUUACAUCUAAUGGUAGAAGGUUCCAAUUCCCAGGCUACUUUGGAACAAAAGAGUCAGGAGCAUCAAUCUUCAGCCAGUCACCUUUCAGUUAUCUGACUGUCUCUCCUCACAACUACGUGCUCAUAACUGUGUCAAAGCUGCCCUCGUCAUAGUUUCCAGCCAGAUGUUCAUCAUAGAGGUCGAGAGAGGUUCUGCAGCAUUAAUACACAGUGUAGUCCCGAUCCCCUUGGUAGAUCAAUCAUUGAAUUGAAGAGAUAACUGUCCUGAUUUGUCCCUGUUAGCCACACCCCAUUAUCCCAUCAAUCCAUAUCUAGAUUAAUCACACUGGAUUCAGUCUAAAUCAAUGUGAAUAACUUUGAAUAGCCUUAAUAAACUGCCUCUACACCUUGUUUUCUCAGAUUCUGUAGCAUCUGCAGUUCCUACUGUCUCUACGUCUAAUAGUCACUUAUUCUUUCUGAACCUACUGUGUCAGAAAGAAGGAACCUGCAUUUCUAAAACACUUUGUAGAGACCCAGUUUGUCCCAAAAUGUUUUUCAGUAACAUAGUUUGUUUAAGUGUAGCCAUUUAUUGCAGCUAGUUUAGGCACAGCAAGCUCCCACAAACAACAGUAAAGCAUUGACCAGAUAUGUAAGCCUUUGUGGUUUUUACAUUCCUGCACUCAGAAAGCACGUCGAUAGCACCCAGUUUGUGAAAGGGAUCGCAGACUGAAAGAAUGCAGUCGCCAGCCAUCCCUGUGGCACAUGCUAACUUGGGGUUUCUGUCCCAUUUGGAAACAAACAGCACCCUCAGGCAUUGGGCAGUAUUGGAAUAUUAGUGUUACUGACUGAAGCCUGCACUCUUUAGAACAUUUUGCAAGAAUACUCAAUAAAGGAGAAAACUGACCUUUAUGUUGCCUGACAGGACUGGUUGGCAUGUAGAUUUUGAUUUAUAGCAGGGUUGCCAUGGAUAAUGGACCCAUUAAAGCUGAUUGACAGUUAACUGCCAGUCAUUGUUUAGAUUUCUAACCAGGCAGGCUGAUUCUUAUUGGUCAGGGUAUUGCCCUGGGAAAUGAACCAGUGAAUGGCUGUCACCUAUUUUGUUGAGUUGGAACAGACACAGUGUGUGGACAUGUUAUUUCUGUCUGCAAUGAACAAGGCCCUAUAUAAAUGGAGCUUCCACAGCAACACCUUUACCAAUCAGAGUCCCACUUUCCAACAAAUCAGCACUCUCUUCUCAUGGAAUAUAAAUCUUAGUUUUGCCCUUGAGUUGGUAUUCUUGUGAAUUGUCCUGAUGAGCGCAAGACGAGGAGCCACACCAAAGUAUAUAUUGUUUCAGCAAUAAACAACAUUUUGUACAUUGUCAUCGUGAGAAUCUGUAUGAUCCAUGCUAAGUAUUAUGUCACCAUGGUAAUGAUAAAGUGUUCAAAGCAUGAACUGCAGGUUUUAUGAUGUAAAUACCCUAGCUGCUCCAAGCAUUGAGAAAAUAUAUAAAUAUAUAUAUUUUGAAACAUUUUCUUUCUUAUCUUUACAUAUGCACCAAAUAUUCCUGUCAGAGAAUUAUUAGCAUUAGAAAGUGAAGUGAUGUGGGUUACACUGGAUUUCGGAGCAGAUACAUUUCUUAUCUGCUGUGAGAUGAUGUGCUCUGGUGAACACAGACUGCUUGCUGCCAGCAAAGUGAGAAAAUGCAAAACAGGACGGUUAAAUUAAGAGACUUUUUUUGAGCUUGAUCUUUGUACAUUACAACUUACUGACUUGUGUAUUAUCGAUGCAAAUGUUUUCAAUAGUUUAUUUGAAAUUUCUAACAUUCUGUGUGAUCAAGCACUGUUUAAUGUUUUUUAAUCUGCUUGGCUGAAACAUUGAUAUAUAAUGUAAGUUAUUGUUUAAGAUUAAGAAGUGAAACCAAUGGACCGGAGAGCAGUGGCAAACUUCAUAUUUGGUCUGGAUUCAUUUUGAUUUGUGCCCAUGGAUCACGCACAUUCACUGAACUCAGGCUCCUUAGCCACUGAAUCUUGGGAUAUGAAGAUGUUAAUGACGAUGGCAAAAGUGAUGCAUUGCUCUGAUGUGAGCACUAUGAGAAAUUGUAUUCAGUUUCAUGUAUAUCAGUGUAAAUAAAGAGUUUACAGUA